CAAGCUGUUAAUCGAAAAUCUGCCGUUAAAUGGGUAAACGAAGCUGCGAACGUUAUCCGAUCCAGGAUAUCAAGGAUCCUUCGCCACCGUUCGUUUAACGUCAUCGUCGACGCUGCUAGUCGGUUUGGCCACAGUGUCCUCUGCAUUGCCGCUCAAGCAAUCGAUGCCGGUAAAAUUAAAGUGUGGUGUUUAGGAAUGAUCGAGAUGUCUGGACGGCAUACGGCCUUGAAUAUAGUGGAUGAAAUCAAAUUGAUUCUUGAUGCUUAUCACUUGGAUUUAACUCAAGUGUACUCGAUAUCUAGCGACAAUGGUAGCAACAUGCUGAACGCAGCUGAAAUUUUAACUCAGGAGCAGCAAGCCGAACUGAUUGAUCAAUUUAUAGAACAUAACGGGGGAGGCUUUUACGAUGCGGCUAGUGGGUUGACUCAAAUGGAAAAAUAUGAUGAGGAGUUCGGUAAAAUUGACAUCAUCCGUGAAGAACAAAUGGUUGAGCAUCUUGCUCCGGGCUCAACUAUUGAAGUUAUGAGUUGCGGUGCGCAUACUGUGAAUUUAGUCAUCAAAGAUUAAAUCAAACAAAUGAAUUGUGAAACAAAUCUAAGAGAAAUUCGUAAGGUAGUGAAACGUUCGAAAGCUAUAGUUUUUCGGCCAAUAUUCCAAAUUCACAAUGCCCCGGUGCAGGUACUGGAUUGUGAUACUCGUUGGGGAACCACACCUAUUAUGAUUGACUCGUUCCUGCAAUUGGUACUUCUUGAAAAACAAAUACAAAUUGUUGAUCUAAAAUACAACAUCGAGAAAUCUUUGAUUAGAUUUGCCGAGGAAUUCUGUAAAGCAUUCAAACCGAUGGUCACGCUUCUGAAAAACUUACAAUUGAUUUGUAUCGAUAUUAUUGGAUAGAAGCUCGCAUCGCACUGCAAAAACUAAGGCACACGAAUAGUUUUGCGUCAGCUCUUAUAGAAAAUUUAUCCAAACGGAAGGACAAAUUGUUCGAAAACAAAACAUUCCUUGUCGGGCUUUUUAUGGAUCCACGGUUUAACUUCAAGGACACGCCUUAUCUAACUAGUGAGCAGAAAAACAUAGCAAUCGACCAUUUACUCAAUACGUAUAAAGUCAUUACUAUGAGAAAGAUUGAAAUGGAAAGAAAAAACGAUAGUCAACCAACGAGUGCGCCUAUACAUUCAACUCUUUCCGAAUCGGAUUUACUGGUUGAGGAAGACUGUAGAGCAACAUCGAGUCAACCAGUACGGUCAGGUAUCAAUGAAGACGAUCUGAGAAUCAAAUUGCAUGGUUUGUGUUCAAGCGACCGACUUUUAAUGGAUACCGAUGUGCUCGAGCAUUGGUAUAAAUAUGAAUUUUCUGAACCAGUUUUAUACGAGUUAUCGAAAAUUGCGUUGUCCGCAGCGCCGACAUCAGUUUCAGUUGAAAGAGCGUUCUCCGGAUUGGUUCACCAACUGACUGCGUUUAGAUCUAAACUCACACCAAGUAACAUUGACAAUUUAAUGAUCAUCCGUUUAAACCCUGAUUUAAUGCUUGGUGUUUUCUGAAUAAUUUAAACGAUAUUUUUUAAGUUUUAGUAUAUUCUAAAAUCGAAUGUUUGUUUCGACAAUUUCAGUAAAGAAAUUUCAAAGAAAAUAAACUUUAACAGAUAUACAAAAGUGUAUAUGGUAUAGGUGUAUCACAUGCCGUAAUAAUAAAAACAUGUUUUACUUAAAAUUCGUAUUUAUAUA